AGCCAGCAAGCGAUGACUGUAUAUGGGAUCGGGCUUAUGUAAGUCGUAGUAAGUCAACAGAACAAGUUCAGACGAUCAGACGAUCAGCCUGCAAUUAGUAGCGGAAGCAAACUCUCAUUUAAUUGGGUUCAAUUCCAGCCAAUCGAAUGGCAAGUUGUCAAUUGGCAUGCAGAAAACGUACAUCCAGCCUUUGGCAAGAGGUUAGAUCGGUUGGCUGACAUUGAGACGACAUACGCGCCACGUCAAUGAAUGAUAAAUGAAUCAAAUCAACUAAGUGGCACGCAAGCCGAUCAAAUAGUAAACAACAGACGUUCACCAAAUUUCAGCUGAAAAAGAUCAGCUGAAAUGACUAAUACACAAAAAUCUCAGGUAAAGACAAACAACCAAAGGAAAGCAAAGAAAGUGGAAACGAAGCCACAAAUAAUCUGGAAAUGGCCGCAGAACAAACCGUUGUAAAAUGUCUUUUAAAUAAUGAAGCAAGCCACAAACAAAGGCCAACAAAAAAUCACGCAAUUGCAUAAAUCUGUCGAAAUUAGAGGUUGGGAGCAGCACAGAACAAACAAACAAAUUGGCGAGAGGGGCCGUCACGGCAGUUGAUCCGUAUCGAUGC
rnacentral:lncRNA from 1 species